CCAGUGGCUUUCAGGAGAGCCUGGGCUGGAGACAGAACAGCUGACAGAGGGCACCCAGCCACUCACAAAAGUCUCUGUAUUUGAUUGCCACCCAGGAUGGGACUUCCCAGUUCUUCUGAUGCUUCUAGGUAUCUUCUGGAAUAUGUGGCCAAUACUACAGUUGUCAGCAGGCCUGAUGUCAUCACCCAGGAAGGAAAGCCUGCUCUACUCCUCUCAGGGAAACGUCUCUCCUUCAGGAUCUGGCCGUGGGCAGCACUCUUCUUGUCUCUGCUGCUUUGGUUAACACCAGCUGGCAGCACCGCCCUCUGCGAGGUGGCCAUCCAAAUGCAGACUCUUCCAAAGCUUCCAAAAGAGCCUCAUGAAGCCUCCCAGCUUUACACUUCCUGCCGUACUGGAUCGUGUGUCCACUCUGCUGGUUUCUGCCACACACAAUCACAUGCAUUUUCAUCCCAGAUCCUCUCUCUAAAGUGGGCAGCAGGGGGAUUCCUGGGUGGCGCAGUGGUUUAGCGCCUGCCUUUGGCCCAGGGCGUGAUCCUGGAGACUCGGGAUCGAAUCCCACGUCAGGCUCCCAGUGCAUGGAGCCUGCUUCUCCCUCUGCCUGUGUCUCUGCCUCUCUGUGUGUGUGUGUGUGUGUGUGUGUGUGACUAUCAUAAAUAAAUAAAAAUUAAAAAAAAUAAAGUGGGCAGCAGGGCAAGGUGGGCUGGACCCAGGUACCUUGUGUGCCUUCCACUUGACCAUGCAGGAGACAUAUACCUCCAGGACAUGCCAAACUGCACUGCUUCAUUGACACUGCCUCUUGCCACCCUGCCCUCUCUCUUGUGGUCAUUUCCUUUGCUAAUUGCAGUCAUUCAAGCAAGUCCACCGCCAAGGUAGACAUCCAACUGGAGAAUGUUUGCCAAUUGCCCCUCAUUGCAAGUACCCCUGACCUGCUGUGGUGAUUCCUUUGGCUCUGCCCUUACUUGUCUGAAGAGGGAAGAGCAGAGACAUCUUUAUUAGAAGAAAAGAUGAAAAAAAUCAUUCUUACCUUAAAUCUUUCUUUUUAGAAAUUUUUAUUUACUUAUUUGAGGGGAGGAGAGAGAGAGAGUGAGCACAUUCAAGCCAGGCAAAGGGAGAGAGGAGAAGUAGACUCCCCACCGAGCAGAGAGCCCAACAUGGGGCUUGAUCUCAGGGAUCAUGAUCUGAACCAAAGGCAGAUGCUUAACUGACUGAACCACCCAGGCGCACCUUUUAACCUUAAAUCUUACCUACUCUACAAGGCCAAUGACUUCAACAAUUCCCCCUUGUUCUUCUUACACAAACUUUAAAGGAAGGGCUAUUGGGAUGUUGGCUGGCCAUGGAGGGACUGAUUUUGUCAUUCCUUACUAAGCCCUGGGAUAACAUGUCUAGCUCCAUGGCUGGCUCUUUAUCUCAUGGAAGAUAGUGGAAAAUAGUUUGAUAAUUCUCAAAAGGAUAAUUAUAGAAUUACUAUAUAGCCCAAUAAUUCUACUUCUGGUAUAUAUACAAAAGAAUCAAAAGCGGGUAUUCAAACAAAAACUUGUACACAAAUGUUCAUGGCAGGACAAUGUGCAAUAGCUAAAAGGUAGAAGCAAACCAAAUGUCCAUCAACAGAUGCACAGAUAAAUGAAAUGCCUUAUAGCUAUACACUGGAAGGUUAUCCAACCCUAAAAAGGAAUAAGUGCUUAUACAUGCUGCAACAAGAAUGAACCUUGAAGACACCAUGCUCAGUGAAGGAGACCAGACACAAAAAGCCACACAUUAUAUGAUUCCAUUUACAUGAGCCAUCCAGAAUAGACAAGUCCAAACAGACAGUUCACGGAAUGGGGGUCACUGGAGGCUGGGAGGAAGGAAGACUGGGGAGUCACUGCUUAAUGGGUAUGAGGCUUCCUUUUGGGAUGAUGAAAAUAGUCUGGUAAUGUGACUAUGGUUGCAUAACUUUGUGAAUGUACUGAUUGCCACUGAAUUAUGCACUCCAAUAUAAUUGAAAUGAUGGAUUUCAAUAUCGUGUAUUUUACCACGAUUCAAAAGAACAGCGAGCCAAAUGCUAUGGUGAGACAAUUACACAUAUUUUCCACGCCUGUUAUCAGAUGAAGGAAUUUCCUGAGUUGUGGUCCUGGCCUCUGAGUCUUGGUUCAGUCGCUUCCUCCUUCUCCCUUUGGGAUUGAACCACCCUAAGGGAGAUGUUCAUCAGGGUAGGCUCCCAUGGUGGAGACCUGCACCUGCCUGGUAUCCCCCGUGAUUGGCUGAGUUCAGGGAAAAAGUCUUAGCAAGACACCACUUCUCCGUAUCUCACUCAUGUCAACCAGACUAAUUUAUAAAUAAGAAAUCCACCAUUUGGUCUCUUAUGCUUCUUCAUCUAUCUCUCUGGAUAUGAAAUUUUAAGAUUAAGUUGGGUGGAGAGGAAAACCUCCCUCCAAAUUCCUUCCCUCCGCCAAAAUUCCAAGUUCCAAACCAUUGUGCAUGGCCACCAUUAGCCUCUAAACCUCUAAAUUACAUGUAAGCAAACACUCACCUUGACUGUUUGAAAAAAAAAAAUUCAAGCCAGAAAAAUAUCAAAGAACAUCUAUUCUUGAGCAAUGAAACUUUUGGAUGUGGAUGUGGCCUCCAAGCUAAACUUGUAAAUUGUGCUUCGUGUAAUCAAAUAGGUUAGAUGACUCCGUGUGAUUUAUUAAUUAUAAGCUAGCUAAAAUUAGAGAAACAUUAAAAAAAAAAACAUUUCAGCUUCUCGCUUAUUGCCUGUGUUUCUUCAUUCCUCUCUCCACUUUCUCCUCUACUGCGUGUCACCCUUAUUUGGAGAGUAUGACUUACAGGAGGUAGUAAAGGACCGUGAAAGCAAAACACCAUUUAGAAUUGAAAGUAAAUGUUCAGUAAAUCAAUAAGUAUGGUAUCACCAUGCUUUUAAAAUUUAAAAACUUAUCAGAAUCACCCAAAGUAUUUCAAAGCAAAAACAAAAACCCCACAACAUUUUUACAGAACUGGGUGUUUUAAAAAUUCUUAGUUGCACACCGAAGAGGAUACAGAAAAGUUGGAAAGAAGCCAUAUGACG
rnacentral:lncRNA from 1 species